rnacentral:misc_RNA from 1 species
GUGAAUCAUCAAAUCUUUGAACGCAAAUUGCACUCUCUUCGGAUAGUAUGCCUAUUUGAGUGUCAGCCUAAAAAAAAUCAACGUAGGCUCUGUUUCGCGGUGACAUUCGUCAGAAAUUGGGUCAUCUUAAACCUUUGUGUUUUUUAAGCAGCUUAAAAUUUUCUUUACGAUUUCACAAACGUUUCUAAGAUUUUACUUCUUACACGCGUUUAAG